UACGUAGGGGCCGAGCGUUGUUCGGAAUUACUGGGCGUAAAGGGCGCGUAGGCGGCCUGCUAAGUCGAACGUGAAAUCCCUGGGCUCAACCCAGGAACUGCGUCCGAUACUGGUUGGCUUGAAUCCGGGAGAGGGAUGUGGAAUUCCAGGUGUAGCGGUGAAAUGCGUAGAUAUCUGGAGGAACACCGGUGGCGAAGGCGACAUCCUGGACCGGUAUUGACGCUGAGGCGCGAAAGCCAGGGGAGCAAACGGG
rnacentral:rRNA from 1 species